GAUCUCAUUUCUCUGGUUGCAGCUGCCUUUAGGCACCCAUUUCAGCGAGCUGCUCUGUUCUGCUUAGCUGUAGAUGCUUCCCAAAUUCCCUCUUUGGUGAAACAGGCAUUUGUGCAGGUUCCCCAUAAAAAUGACUGAUUUGGGUUUUACCAGGAGCUCUGGCACUUCUCCACUGCGAGAAAGCAUUGCAUUUACAGAGAGGUUUCUCAAGAUGGGAAUAGUGAAACAAACAUUUCCAAUGUCCUGCAGAACCCUCUGUCAGCCUCCCUGGGCAGGAAUUUCAGCCAUUCUGCAAUGAGAGCCCCUGAAAGGACCCUGCUGCCCUGUGGGACUGCCCAGCUCCCAGCCCUGCUGCUGGGGAAGAGCUCACCACAGGACACCUCCUGUAUCUGCUGUGGUUUGGAACUGAGUGUGCCAUCAAUGUGGGAUGGCUGGAGCAGGUGCUGCCCUUGGCCAGGCUGCUGGGAGCCCAGGAGGAGAGCCCUGAGCCAGUUCCCAUCCUGUCCCACAGCCAGCAGUAAAUGCCACCAUGAUUGCAAUGAGCCUGGUGAGGUGUGAAAUGAAGAUUAAUCCUUCCCCAGGCCAAGAACUGCCCCUGCCUGAGACACCUGGAGCUCCACACUGCAUUUCCAGGUGUGCUGUGACUUACCUGGUGCUGCUGUGGGAUAUUCAUUGGAAUAUUCAUUGGGAUAUUCAGUGCUGCUUUUUGGACAAACUUCCUGAUACAGUGUUUAUUAGAACCAGUAUUUGCGAGAAGAAACCUGGCUGUGCUCAUUUCUUGCUGAGGUUUCUCUUCCUGCCCUUGUCUCCAGCUCCAGUCCCUCUCUGCAGAGACCUGCCUGACUGCACGGCUGGGAAACAGCCCCAGGGAUGGCUCAGCUCAGGAGUGAUCACAGACAGACACUUGGCACUUCCACCCAAUUCCACACUGCUGCAAAGGGAACAGGGGAAAACCUCAGCUUGUGGCCUCUGACAGAGAGCUGACAGCCUGUCAUGCAGCACGAGCCACUGGGUGCUGCCUCAGCUCUGCCAUCUGCCGUGGUUGCCCUCUUCCCUGCCUACUCCCCGUGCAAGAUUUGGGUGUUUUCUCCACCCUGCUGAGCUUCCUGCACAGCCCAUGCCCUCGUGCCAUGCUGGGGCAGCAUCAGGAGGCUGCUGGGGAGCCCUGACCUGGACCAG
rnacentral:lncRNA from 1 species